rnacentral:lncRNA from 1 species
AGUGUGAAUAGGAUUGGUGAAAGAGUGAAAGAGUGUUGUGUGCUUUUGCUGAGUUUAGGAUGGUGUCAAUUGUGCCUCAGGAGAAGAGUUUAGACAUUCUGUCCUGAUGAAUGUAAUCAAGUCUUUAUUUCAUGGUUUCUCUUAACGCAAAUACGUACAGGUUCAUAUUCGUCGAUGAGGGUGAGAGGAAAACUAUCGCCAACAGAAAGAAUCCAGAUAGGAAGAGAGAAAAAGAAAGACCAGAGAUGGAUUUUGUGUCCUUUUUAAAACAGCCUCAAUCACCUGAUUCCUCCCUGCCACUUCUCUGCAAAUGAUAGAGUUCACACAUCUAUAAUUCUCUCAUAGGUUCAUGUGGGCUGCUCCUCAUAACCCUGCUCAAACACUACUGAGGCAUCAGGAUCUUCAAGAUUCAUCUCUCUUUGGUGACUUCCUGAAGCUUGAAGUAUCUUCCUUGGGAGACGUAUUAUAGAAUUUGAAAUCCCACUGGCCAGAUCUCAGCAUGUAGUUUCAUCCCAACUCUACAGAAGUCUGGAAAAUACAGAGAGAACAUGCUCUUUCCCUAGGAAGAAGAGAUGAGAGCUCCAUCUCUCUGCUGGUGGAAGGAGAGGUUGUCUUUCCCUUCCCAUAGGGCAAGAAGAGCUGCCUCCACAUCCUCCUUCUGCUGUAGCUGAAGAGCCUGUUUAAAGGAACAUCCUGAUGGGGCUCAGCCUUUUGACCCCCAGAAAACAUGGCUUUGUCUGCCAUCCUGCAGCUCAUCAUGGGAGCCUGCAAAGUGGUUGGGGGCAGCACACACCAGCAUGCUGUGAAGAGAGGAAAGAGCUGCCGGGAUAACAACCCCGCAGCCACCAUAAUGACUCAGAUUAGAACACAAGGGAACACCAGCCAUUUUUUAGUCUGUCAGUUUUUCUAUUAUCCUCAAGACUGAGCAUGAAACAUUCAUUAUAACACGUCCUUAUUGAUUCAACUGAUGGAAAUAUAUUGGUAUUAAUAACACGAAACUCUAAGGCACUGAGGAUAAUAAAAUGAUUGCGAACAUAA